UACGUAGGGUGCAAGCGUUGUCCGGAAUUAUUGGGCGUAAAGAGCUCGUAGGCGGUUUGUCGCGUCUGUUGUGAAAACUCGGGGCUUAACUCCGGGCCUGCAGUGGGUACGGGCAGACUAGAGUGCGGUAGGGGAGACUGGAAUUCCUGGUGUAGCGGUGAAAUGCGCAGAUAUCAGGAGGAACACCGGUGGCGAAGGCGGGUCUCUGGGCCGUAACUGACGCUGAGGAGCGAAAGCGUGGGGAGCGAACAGG
rnacentral:rRNA from 1 species